AACGAACGCUGGCGGCAGGCUUAACACAUGCAAGUCGAACGCCCCGCAAGGGGAGUGGCAGACGGGUGAGUAACGCGUGGGAAUCUACCCAGUUCUACGGAAUAACCCAGGGAAACUUGGACUAAUACCGUAUACGCCCUACGGGGGAAAGAUUUAUCGGAAUUGGAUGAGCCCGCGUUGGAUUAGCUAGUUGGCGGGGUAAUGGCCUACCAAGGCGACGAUCCAUAGCUGGUCUGAGAGGAUGAUCAGCCACACUGGGACUGAGACACGGCCCAGACUCCUACGGGAGGCAGCGGUGGGGAAUAUUGGACAAUGGGCGCAAGCCUGAUCCAGCCAUGCCGCGUGAGUGAUGAAGGCCUUAGGGUUGUAAAGCUCUUUCAGUGGGGACGAUAAUGACGGUACCCACAGAAGAAGCCCCGGCUAACUUCGUGCCAGCCGCCGCCGUAACAC
rnacentral:rRNA from 1 species